AAACAAACGUUUUAAAUACUUGAACAUCUUCAGAUUCGUGGUAACCAUGACUACCCGAAAAAGAAAAGGAGAGCCUCGCACUCUAGGAGCUCAGAUGCAACAAUUUAAUAACCAACGUUUCGACAGACAAGCUGUCUUUCAUCAGGGUAUAUUGACAAACACUGCAGGAAGCAAACAACACGUUGUUUCACACACUGCUUGUGAUGCUCCAAAACAGUUUUUGAUGAGAGUCCGAGUGAAGGAAAGGAAAAGAUAAGGACAACAGAGGACGAGAGGAAGCGAAGGAUGAUGAACGAAGACAAGUGUAUGACUCACCAGUUAAACCUGUUCAAAUGAUUGUGAACCAACUGCAAUUUUCGCCCAAAGUCCAAGGAGGCGUACAACUGCGAAGAAGAACAUAAAAAAGAGAAAGAAAAGAGAGAUAGAGAGCAUAUCAGUCUACUUAUCUACUUAUCACAAGACAGGAAGUAAAGUGACAGUGGGCUUGAGUCAUGGCAGGAUAAUGCUAGGGAAGAGUGUACCCGGGGCAAUGAAGCAUGACACUCUAGAUAGGCUGACAUCAUUUUAAACCGCCAUCAUCAUUAUAGCUCAGACCAUUCAUGUUAUAGCUCGGACCAUUCAGUAUAGGCUCCCAAAUUACAUAUAGGCCCUAUCCUGUUUCCGGUAACACUUUACUUGACACCCAGCGUCAUAACACGUUAUGACAUGUUCAUAACCAUGUCAUGACAUAUUAAUAAUGGCACCGGAGGGAAUGGCUGCCGUUUUACUGGCUCCUACCCAACUUUGCUAUUUUGUUUGUUUUUGCACAUUUUUUUUACUAAUUUUGUACACAAUGUUGCUGCUACCGUCUCUUAUGACCAAAAAUAACUUCUGGACAUCAGGACAGUGAUUACUCACCUCGAACUGGAGGAAUAUUUUUACUUUAAUGAGUCCGAGGCGAAGGAUAUACUGCUUCCUGGAGACCAGGCCUUCAUCCCCGUCAUUCGCGUGAAGAAAAGACGGAAAUACAUGGGGCAGAGGUCUGGGAGCCUUGUGAGAAUUUGUCGGCGAGUGAGUAAACCACCACUACCCUCUGUUUUAUUGGCCAACGUGCAAUCAUUGGAAAACAAAUUGGACGAUUUACGAUUAAGAAUAUCCUACCAACGACGACACGGAUUAUAUAGAGCUGGCUGGCUUCUCCGUUUUUCUGGACUUUUUGUUUUUACAUUGCUGCUACUCACUGUUUAUUAUUUAUGCAUAGCCACUUGACAAAUUACCUCGAUUAACCUGUACCCCCGCACAUUGACUUGGUACCGGUACCACAUGUAUAUAGCGUCAUUAUUUUUAUGUACAUUUCUUGUGUUACCUUGUGAUUGAUUAGAUUUUUUUUACUUUAGUUUAUUUAGUAAAUAUUUUAAUAACUCUUAUUUCCUGAACUGCAUUGUUGGUCUGAUCUGUUUCACCUGUCUUUGUGCUUGUCUCCACCCCCCUCCAGGUGUCGCCCAUCUUCCUCAUUAUCCCAAGUGUAUUUAUACCCGUGUUCUCUGUUUGUCUAUUGCCAGUUCAUCUUGUCAGGUCUUACCAGCAUGUUUUCCCAUCUCUCUGCUUUCUCAAGUUCUGUUCCCUAGUUUCCCCGGUUCUGACCAUUCUGCCUGGCCUGACCCCAAGCCUGCCUGCCAUUCUGUGCCUACCUGACUCUGACCCAUUUACGAACCUCUGCCUGUCCUGACCCCGAGCCUGCCUGCUGUUCUGUACCUUAUUGACUCUGCCCUGGAUUGCGGACCUCUGCCUGCCUUUGACCUGUCUUUUGCCUUCCCCCUGUUUUGGUCAAUAAACAUCUG
rnacentral:lncRNA from 1 species